UUAACUAUUAUAUAGUACUCAGACAUCACUGAUAAAAGAGUUUGGGUCCUCUGGCGGGCGCGAUCAGCCGGGGCCGACGCCUAGAAGGACGGCCCGCCAAAGCAACAAAGGUAAAUAAACACAGGGUGUAUGAUAUAUCCCUUCGCAAUCCGCCGCAGGCUCUCACCCUUGACGAACCGGUCCGGUCACAUUUUUAAUGAUCCUUCCGCAGGUUCACCUACGGAAA
rnacentral:misc_RNA from 1 species